UAUUGGUUCUACUUUGGCUGCUGCUGGUUUUCCGCUCAGGUUUGUGGAUUUUGGUAUCCUGAGCUGUCUCCUGAACUCUUGGAACCCUGGAACCUCUGGACUGGCCACUGACUAUGAGAGAGAAGAGAAGAAUGCAUGGAGACAUCAAUCUUCUGUUGACAGAAGGCAUCUGCAGAUGGAAUUCAAGGUGCCAGGGCAUGUCUAUAUGCAGGCAGGAUUUUUAAGACCUUAGCAAUCAAAUUUCAGGCCAUGCUUCAGAAGGGAAAUUGCUGUCACGGCUGUUGUGAACAAUAUGUAUCUGGAUGCUGACAGGAGGAACACGACCCUGUUGGAGCUUUCUGGCCUCCUGGAACUUUGAUACUGUCGGGGUGAAGGGAAAUGAUUGGGAGGAGACCACGG
rnacentral:lncRNA from 11 species